AGUGAACGGCGGGGGCGUGCCUAAUACAUGCAAGUCGAACGGAAUUUAAAAGAGCUUGCUCUUUUAAAAUUAGUGGCGCACGGGUGAGUAAGAUAUAGAUAAUCUGCCCCGUGCUGGAGGACAACAGUUAGAAAGGACUGAUAAUACUCCAUACUCCUUUCUACCAUAAGAUAAAUCGGGAAAGAAUUUUGGCAAGGGAUGAGACUAUAUCGUAUAAGAUAGUCGGUGGGGUAACGGCCUACCGAGGGUAUGACGGGUAACUGGUGUGAGAGGAUGAUCAGUCACAUUGGAAGUGAGACACGGUCCAAGCUCCUACGGGAGGCAGCAGUAGGGAAUAUUGCGCAAUGGGGGAAACCCUGACGCAGCAACGCCGCGGGAGGAUGACACUUUUGGGAG
rnacentral:rRNA from 1 species